rnacentral:rRNA from 1 species
CAGCAGCCGCGGGAAUACGUAGGUCCCGAGCGUUGUCCGGAUUUAUUGGGCGUAAAGCGAGCGCAGGCGGUUAGAUAAGUCUGAAGUUAAAGGCUGUGGCUUAACCAUAGUACGCUUUGGAAGCUGUUUAACUUGAGUGCAAAAGGGGAGAGUGGAAUUCCAUGUGUAGCGGUGAAAUGCGUAGAUAUAUGGAGGAACACCGGUGGCGAAAGCGGCUCUCUGGCUUGUAACUGACGCUGAGGCUCGAAAGCGUGGGGAGCAAACAGGAUUAGAUACCCCGGUAGUCCCUGUCUCUUAUACA